rnacentral:rRNA from 1 species
GAUGAACGCUGGCGGCGUGCCUAAUACAUGCAAGUCGAGCGAAUGGAUUAAGAGCUUGCUCUUAUGAAGUUAGCGGCGGACGGGUGAGUAACACGUGGGUAACCUGCCCAUAAGACUGGGAUAACUCCGGGAAACCGGGGCUAAUACCGGAUAACAUUUUGAACCGCAUGGUUCGAAAUUGAAAGGCGGCUUCGGCUGUCACUUAUGGAUGGACCCGCGUCGCAUUAGCUAGUUGGUGAGGUAACGGCUCACCAAGGCAACGAUGCGUAGCCGACAUGGGGGGGUGAACGGCCACACUGAGACUGAGACACGGCCCAGACUCCUACGGGAGACAGCAGUAGGGAAUCUUCCGCAAUGGACGAAAGUCUGACGGAGCAACGCCGCGUGAGUGAUGAAGGCUUUCGGGUCGUAAAACUCUGUUGUUAGGGAAGAACAAGUGCUAGUUGAAUAAGCUGGCACCUUGACGGUACCUAACCAGAAAGCCACGGCUAACUACGUGCCAGCCGCCGCCGUAA